rnacentral:rRNA from 1 species
UGACACAGAGAGGUAGUGACAAGAAAUAACAAAGCAAGCCUCUUCGAGGCGCUGCGUUGGAAUGAGUUGAAUUUAGAUCUCUUUACGACUAUCAAUUGGAGGGCAAGUCUGGUGCCAGCAGCCGCGGUAAUUCCAGCUCCAAUAGCGUAUAUUAAAGUUGUUGCGGUUAAAAAGCUCGUAGUUGGAUUUCUGUUGAGAACGUCCGGUCCGCACUAUGUGCGUGUAUCUGGUUCGGUCUUGGCAUCCUCUUGAGGAACGUAUCUGCGCUUGAUUGCGUGGAGCGGUAUUCAAGACUUUUACUUUGAGGAAAUUAGAGUGUUUCAAGCAGGCACACGCCUUGAAUACAUUAGCAUGGAAUAAUAAGAUAGGACCUUUGUUCUAUUUUGUUGGUUUCUAGGGCUGAGGUAAUGAUUAAUAGGGAUAGUUGGGGGCAUUCGUAUUUAACAGUCAGAGGUGAAAUUCUUGGAUUUGUUAAAGACGGACUACUGCGAAAGCAUUUGCCAAGGAUGUUUUCAUUGAUCAAGAACGAAAGUUAGGGGAUCGAAGACGAUUAGAUACCGUCGUAGUCUUAACCAUAAACCAUGCCGACUAGAGAUUGGAGGUCGUUAACUGUACGACCCCUUCAGCACCUUAUGAGAAAUCAAAGUCUUUGGGCUCUGGGGGGAGUAUGGUCGCAAGGCUGAAACUUAAAGGAAUUGGCGGAAGGGCACCACCAGGAGUGGAGCCUG